GACAGAGGGUGCUAGCGUUGUUCGGAAUGACUGGGCGUAAAGGGCGCGUAGGCGGUAGAUCAAGUCAGAUGUGAAAGCCCCGGGCUUAACCUGGGAACGGCAUUUGAUACUGGUCGACUGGAGGACGAGAGGGGAAAGUGGAAUUCCUAGUGUAGAGGUGAAAUUCGUAGAUAUUAGGAGGAACACCAGAGGCGAAGGCGGCUUUCUGGCUCGUAACUGACGCUGAGGCGCGAAAGCGUGGGGAGCAAACAGG
rnacentral:rRNA from 1 species